rnacentral:rRNA from 1 species
GACGAACGCUGGCGGCGUGCUUAACACAUGCAAGUCGAGCGGUAAGGCCUCUUCGGGGGUCCACGAGCGGCGACCGGGUGAGUAACACGUGGGUGACCUGCCCUCACUUCUUGUAUAGCCUGGAUAACUGGGUCUAAUACCGGCUAUUACCUUUUCUCGCCUGCGGUUUGGUGCAAAGUUUUUUCGGCUCGUGCUGGGCUCGCUGCCUAUCAGCCUGUUUGUGUGGUGAUGGCCUACCAAGGCGACGACGGGUAGCCGGCGUGAGAGGGCGACGGGCAACACUGGGAGGGAGACACGGGUCAGACUCAUACGAGAGGCAGCAGUGGGGAAUAUUGCGCAAUGGGCGGAAGCGUGGCGGAGCGACGGGGCGUGGGGGAUGACGGCCGGGGGGUAAUAAACCUCGUUCGACACCGACGAAUUUGGACGGUAGGGGUAGAAGAAGCACCGGCCAACUACGUG